CCCAGACUCCUACGGGAGGCAGCAGUGGGGGAUAUUGCACAAUGGGGGAAACCCUGAUGCAGCGACGCCGCGUGGGUGAAGAAGUAUUUCGGUACGUAAAGCCCUAUCAGCAGGGAAGAAAGAAGACGGUACCUGACUAAGAAGCCCCGGCUAACUACGUGCCAGCAGCCGCGGUAAUACGUAGGGGGCGAGCGUUAUCCGGAUUCACUGGGUGUAAAGGGAGCGUAGACGGCCGUGCAAGCCAGGAGUGAAAGCCCGGGGCCCAACCCCGGGACUGCUCUUGGAACUGUGCGGCUGGAGUGCGGGAGGGGCAGGCGGAAUUCCUGGUGUAGCGGUGAAAUGCGUAGAUAUCAGGAGGAACACCGGCGGCGAAGGCGGCCUGCUGGACCGCGACUGACGUUGAGGCUCGAAAGCGUGGGGAGCGAACAGGAUUAGAUACCCCUGUA
rnacentral:rRNA from 1 species